rnacentral:rRNA from 1 species
AAAAUUGCAGUUGAUACUGUCAGUCUUGAGUACAGUAGAGGUGGGCGGAAUUCGUGGUGUAGCGGUGAAAUGCUUAGAUAUCACGAAGAACUCCGAUUGCGAAGGCAGCUCACUGGACUGCAACUGACACUGAUGCUCGAAAGUGUGGGUAUCAAACAGGAUUAGAUACCCUGGUAGUCCACACAGUAAACGAUGAAUACUCGCUGUUUGCAAGGGCCAAGCGAAAGCAUUAAGUAUUCCACCUGGGGAGUACGCCGGCAACGGUGAAACUCAAAGGAAUUGACGGGGGCCCGCACAAGCGGAGGAACAUGUGGUUUAAUUCGAUGAUACGCGAGGAACCUUACCCGGGCUUAAAUUGAAGGUGCUGCAUGGUUGUCGUCAGCUCGUGCCGUGAGGUGUCGGCUUAAGUGCCAUAACGAGCGCAACCCUUAUCUUUAGUUACGACUCUAGAGAGACUGCCGUCGUAAGAUGGAGGAAGGUGGGGAUGACGUCAAAUCAGCACGGCCCUUACGUCCGGGGCUACACACGUGUUACAAUGGGGGGUACAGAAGGCAGCUAGCGGGUGACCGUAUGCUAAUCCCAAAAUCCUCUCUCAGUUCGGAUCGAAGUCUGCAACCCGA